rnacentral:rRNA from 1 species
AUGGCGCAAAAGCAGAUAUGGUCCGGUAUUCCCUUGUUCCCCGUAUUGGUUAUGUUCCUUAUUCCUCGUCUAGCAGAAACUAAUCGAGCUCCGUCUGAUCUCCCAGAAGCGGAAGCUGAAUUAGUUGCAGGCUAUAAUGUAGAAUAUGCGCGGGAUGCGAUCCUUAAUAGUUCACUGUUGGCGGAAGCCAAUGUCUCGGGGACUCAUUCUGACUUAAACAAGGGGUGGGUCUUUACCAACUUCCAAAUCCAAGAUUUAGGGAAAAAAAAGAGGGGCAGGGCACUCUUCAUUCUUCAUUCGAAACUCAUGAAUGUCGGGUCGGAGGUUUUUGCCUUGUUAUCAAAAAGGGGAGUUGGGUAA